AGAAGUAAAAUACCUAUGCAUGAAAAAUAAAAACACAAUUCAUUUGAAUUUUAUCUGGAUAACUGGAUAGAAGGCUAUACGUGAGAAAGAACACAGAAUUAUUAGCGUGAACGAAACAGGAGUCGGGAUAUAAUAGGGGUUGCUGUCCCCACAGCCCCCAGCAUCCAGGCUAAUUGUAAGACAAUUUUUUUGAAGAAUUUGUUUGAAAAAAAAUCUUCCGUCGCAUUGGUAAGGCGCAACGCUACAACUAUUCGUACUCUCCGGAAUGCGUGAGGUAUCACGCCUCAAUUGAAGGCGUUUUCAAAACCGCCAAGUUUCGAUACUGGGAUUGUCGAUUCGCACGAAGUUCGGAGCCCGAAUCAAUGGAACGACUUAUUUUACGGGCUAAUGUAACACUUCUGUGCACAUCUCCUUGUUUUAAUUUGACACAGAAAUGUCUCAAAGUAAAUAAAACAUAAUGUAAGACACCUGAGUUUCGUCAUCAAUAAUGUACAAUACAGCUGAUAUGACUAAGGUUUAGUUCAGCUCUGUGCCGACAGAGCCCGCAUGGGCGCAAAGUUGAUUCCGAUUCCAAACAACCUUCCUUAUCAGAAAACGCGAGUGAUAUUUACUCAAUUAUCUCAGAUUUCUACCUCUAAUUCCGUGGUUUAGAUCACUUUUCAUUAAGUCUCUUUUUGCCUGGUUACCGAAAAAAGGCAAAAGCAUUCUCAGAAAAUGUGUUUUUAAACAUGUUGAAUAGGAAAAAAAGAAAUCCAAGAAGAAAGCCCACAAUUCUUCGCAAUUUUAUGAUUCUCAGAUUGACAGUACAGACUCUUCCUUCAAAAUGUCUGAUCCAAAUGACAUGUGCCAAGCAUUUGAGGGCCAACUUUACAAGUAUACGAAUGUAAUGAAAGGUUACCAGUACAGGUGGUUCAUCUUGGAUCCGAAAAAAGGAGUUCUAAACUACUAUCUGGUCAGUAUAUCAACCCAUACUUAUUUUCCUAAUAGUUUCUUCUGAAUCCCUUCUACAUGGGUAUUUAAAAUUAAUUAAUUAGACUAUAGAUCAAAUUUCUUGAUAUGUUAUUUAUUCCAAGUAAAAUUCUAGUCCUCUGGGCAAUGGAAAUAACAAAAACAUGACAAUAAUAAAGCAUGUAUGAUUUCACUCACAUACUGUGUCAUGUUUAAACACACUAAAGCCCAACUCACACUAUCAAACUUCUCAUCUGACUUAAUUAAAAGGAAAGUUGGAUGGAAAGUUAAAGGCAAAUAAAUUUGAUUCAAUUACCCGUUCAACUUUCCAUUCAAUUGGCGCUGCCAAUUAAAGUAAGUUGAGUGUGACAUCACAUUCAAGUUUCUGUUCAAUUUUUCAUCAAAUUGUCGUUUUCUCUCAGUCAUAUCACACUAUCCAACUUUUCAUGCAACAAGUUGCAUUCAAGAUUUGAAUGAAAAGUUUGAUCGUAAUAAUUGGGCUUUAUCUACAGCCCUUUGGUUGAAUAUUCAUUCAGUCAUUGAUUAAUAAAUCAAGUCCUUUGACAAUCAGUUUUUCAUCCAUCAAAAAACAUUAGUAUGUAAGUAAUAUGGGAAAUAGGAAUAUCACUGUUCUGUCUCUUUAUUUAUUUUAUUUCAUUUUAUUUUGUACAUAAGAGCUGAUUGGCCAUAGUUCAUGUAAUGAAUGGGUUUAAACAGUAAGAAAAACAGAUUAAUAAUGUGAACAAUCAAUUAAAGCAGCUUAGAAUUAUACACAUUUUCGAAACAUGCUAUAGAUCAGUCAAGUUUUCAACAGCAGGGUGCACAAUACUAGAUCACGCGAUAAUUUAUCGCGUGAAAAUGUGGAAGGCCUUCCCGAUUUACAGAAGCGCGAUCACG
rnacentral:lncRNA from 1 species